rnacentral:lncRNA from 1 species
UUUGCUAUAUGUUUGGUAGAGAGAGUGAUGUUACCACUCCUUUUGCUCCUCACCACCGCGCGCUGUUGCUACUGUCUAGGGGCUUUUCUCCUUCUCCGGCAAAGUCUACCGGUGGCAAGGAGAGGGGACUCCUCUCUUUUUAUGGCAGUUUUUAUAUGUCCAGUUUGCAUAGGGUUUUAGCCCAAAUAAAUCUACAAUCUAGAUUUCUCAAAAAAAAAUCUACAAUCUAAAUCAGAAGAUUUUCAGUGGGAAUCUUGUUACAUGAGAUGACUUUGAUAAUUGUCACAAUAAAAUGGCUAUUUCCUUUGUAAAGAUACAGUGUUUCCAAGAGUGUGCAGGUACAUGCAAGUUCUAGCAUCUCCAUCAGGCCAAGUCCCACUCUAUAUCUGAGUAGUGGAGUAAUAAAAUUGCCUUCACUUUUUCAUUGGCUAUCCAAAUCCUUCCUGCACUGCUCAUUCCCAUGGGGUCAAGUAGGGUGCCUCUGCUUUUUUAUUAGAUCGUUUUCCACCUGAAAGGAUCAAGAUGUCUUUCGUGAGUUAUUGUUUUAACGUUAGGUAAUUUUAGUUAUAUGGGUCUAAUCCUACAAUUUUAGUUAUUUGAUAUAUAAAUAUAUAUAUAGGCUGGAGUUAUAGUUAUUACAUUUGAUAGUUUGGUGUUACAGUUUAUCCAGUGAAAGCG